rnacentral:pre_miRNA from 15 species
UAUCGCUGAACCUCGAGAUGGGUUACGGGGCUUAGUCCUUCCUCCGUAUGGCAAUGACUAGAACCGUUACUCAUCUCGAGGUUUCGG